GCCACAUCACAUUGAAAUACUGGUUCCCGUAUGAUCACCGAAGUUAAGCAACGUCGUUCCUGACCAGCACCUUGAUGGGUGAUCACUUGGGAAUUCCAGGAGCUGUAAG